rnacentral:lncRNA from 1 species
CAGCUCUGGUGUUGCUCAGGCAUGGUUCACAUGUGUUUGUGGCAUGGUUGACCCGUGGUUCUGUCAUGGCAGGCAAGUUGUGCCAGUUUGGCUGACACGUGCUUCAAGUGAGGCUGACCUGUGGUUCAAGUGUGACUGGCACUUGGUGUGGCUCCCACGUGACUCACAGGUUGCUGAAACAUGGCUCCCGCAUACUCACUCAUGGCUGGCACAUGGCUCACACAUGGCUCAGAUGUGUUUCAUGUGUGGCUCCAUUGCGGGUCAUGUGUGAUUCAAGCAUUGCACAUGUGUGUUUCACAGGUGGUUCAGAUGUGCUUCAAGGGUGUCUCACAUGUGGUUCAUGCAUGGCUCACACAUGGUUCGGGUGUAAUUCAGGCGUGCCGCUCACACGACUCAUGUGGGUCACAUAUGAUAGAGGACACUUUCACUCGUGAUCAGGCAUAGCUCAGCCAUGGCUCACAUAUGUUGUAGGCAUUCCACAGAACGGGCUCCCAUGUGGCUGAUGCAUGAUUCAGGCUUUUCUCAUGCUUACAUCACACAUUGCUCAUGUGUGGCACAUGCACAGCUAUGGUGUUUUUCAAGUGUGACUCACAUGUGUUUGUGGCAUUGUUGGGACGGGGUUCAGGAAUGGCAGGCAAGUUGUGCCAGUGUGGCUGACACGUGCUUCCAGUGAGGCUGACCUGUGAUUCAAGUGUGACUCACACUUGGUUCAGGCCUGGCUGGCAUGUGACAUCAGAAUGGCUUAGAUGUGCCUCAGGCAUGGCUCACACGAUAUUCAGGCGUGGCUGACAUAUGACUCAGGUCAGGCAGCCACGUGACACAGGCGUGCAUGACACGUCACCUGUGUGUGGUUCACACAUGAUUCGUGCAUGGCCUUCGUGUGGUUCAGGGGUGGCUGGUUCAAGGUUCACCCAUGGGUGGCACAUGGUUCAGGCAUGGCUGACAUGUGACACAGGCAUGUGUGAAACAUUACCUUGGUGUGGCUCACACAUGUGUCAGGCCUGGAUGACACAUGAUUCAGGCAUUCAUCACACAGGUCUCAGGCAUGGCUGACACGUGACUCAGGCAUUCAUUGCAAAAGAUC